AACGAACGCUGGCGGCAGGCUUAACACAUGCAAGUCGAGCGCCCCGCAAGGGGACUGGCCGACGGGUGAGUAGCGCCUGGCAACGGACUCUUAUCUUCGGGAUAGCCCUGGGAAACUGGAAUUACUACCGAAAGCGCCCUCUGGUGGAAAGUAUUAUCGGAUAAGGCACGGUUCGAGUUGGAUUAGCUAGUUGGCUGGGUAAAGGCCUACCAAGGCGACGAUGCAUAGCUGGUCUGAGAGGAUGAUCAGCCACAUUGGGAGUGGGACACGGCCCGAACUCCUACGGGAGGCAGCAGUGGGGAAUAUUGGACAAUGGGCGCAAGGCUGAUCCAGCCAUGCCGCGUGAGUGAUGAAGGCCUUAGGGUUGUAAAGCUCUUUCACCGGAGCAGAUAAUGACGGUAUCCGGAGAAAAAGCCACGGCUAACUACGUG
rnacentral:rRNA from 1 species